rnacentral:misc_RNA from 1 species
UCGAAAUUCGAAGGGUCUAGGAGGGGAAGGGGGAGCGGGGAGCGCCGCGCGCGUCCUCGCUCUUCGGAACCUCCGAGGCUUUCAACCCUCUCUACACCUCUGUGCACCCACUGUAGGUCCUUCGGGACCUACGUCUUCUCUUCCAAACUCGCAUGUCUACAGAACGUGACCGUCGUGUCUGCCGGCCCGACCCUCAGGGUCCGCGUCGGCGACCGCGAAAAACCCUAUA